CGUAACACGUGAGCAACCUGCCUAGGUGUGGGGGAUAGCCGGCCCAACGGCCGGGUAAUACCGCAUACGCUCAACACGAGGCAUUUCGAGUUGAGGAAACCUUCGGGGCACUAUGAGGGGCUCGCGGCCUAUCAGCUAGUUGGCGAGGUAAUGGCUCACCAAGGCUACGACGGGUAGCUGGUCUGAGAGGAUGGCCAGCCACAUUGGGACUGAGAAACGGCCCAG
rnacentral:rRNA from 1 species